UCCGCGCGGAAGAUGUAACGGGGCUAAGCGAUGUACCGAAGCUGCGGGUGCAUAGCAAUAUGCGCGGUAGAGGAGCGUUCCGUAAGCCUGCGAAGGUGACUCGUAAGGGUUGCUGGAGGUAUCGGAAGUGCGAAUGCUGACAUGAGUAACGAUAAUGGGUGUGAAAAACACCCACGCCGAAAGACCAAGGUUUCCUGCGCAACGUUAAUCGACGCAGGGUUAGUCGGUCCCUAAGGCGAGGCUGAAAAGCGUAGUCGAUGGCAAACAGGUUAAUAUUCCUGUACUUCCAGUUAUUGCGAUGGAGGGACGGAGAAGGUUAGGCCAGCCUGGCGUUGGUUGUCCAGGUUUAAGGUGGUAGGCUGAAAUCUUAGGCAAAUCCGGGAUUUCAAGGCCGAGAGCUGAUGACGAGUUGCCUUUAGGCGACGAAGUGGUUGAUACCAUGCUUCCAAGACAAGCUCCUAAGCU
rnacentral:rRNA from 1 species